GACGAACGCUGGCGGCGUGCUUAACACAUGCAAGUCGAACGGAAAGGUCCUGCUUUUGUGGGGUGCUCGAGUGGCGAACGGGUGAGUAACACGUGAGUAACCUGCCCCUGACUUUGGGAUAACUUCAUGAAACUGGGGCUAAUACCGGAUAGGAGCUCCUGCUGCAUGGUGGGGGUUGGAAAGUUUCGGCGGUUGGGGAGGGACUCGCGGCUUAUCAGCUUGUUGGUUGGGUAGUGUCUUACCAAGGCUUUGACGGGUAGCCGGCCUGAGAGGGUGACAGGACCAACUGGGACUGGGAUACGGCACAGCCCACUCUGGGAGGCAGCAGUGGGGAAUAGUGCACAAUGGGAGGAAGCCUGAUCUAGCCACGCUGCGUGGGGGAAGACGGGCUUGGGGUUGGAAACUGCUUUCGCCUGUGACGAAGAGUGAGUGACGGUAAUGGGUAAAGAAGCACCGGCUAACUACGUG
rnacentral:rRNA from 1 species